rnacentral:lncRNA from 1 species
AGACAUUAUAUUCUAUCUUAUAAGAUAAGGAUUUUGAGGAAUAUUUUACUUGAUCUAGUGGGACGCGGCCUGCCGCAGCAUGAAAUGUGUGUGGCCAUUUGCAGGCCUUUCAUUGCAACUUUGAUUAUCAAUUGCUUGCUUCUAUUAAUCUAGCCAAUCAAACAUGAGCACCUGGCAGGCAUCACUCAUCUGAAGUGCUUGUCAAUUUGUCACCAAAAAAAGACAACGCAUGUGUCCAAAGUUUUUUCAGCAAUGCCCCAUGCUAUUUUGCGCUCAUGAUUCAGGCGCAUGUUAGCC